UACGUAGGUGGCGAGCGUUGUCCGGAUUUACUGGGCGUAAAGCGCACGUAGGCGGUUCGUUAUGUCGGAUGUGAAAGCCCUUGGCUUAACCGAGGAAGUGCAUCCGAAACUGGCGAGCUAGAGUACGAAAGAGGAUCGCGGAAUUCCCGGUGUAGAGGUGAAAUUCGUAGAUAUCGGGAGGAACACCGGUGGCGAAGGCAGCUCGCUGGGACGGUACUGACGCUGAGGCGCGAAAGCGUGGGGAGCAAACAGG
rnacentral:rRNA from 1 species